rnacentral:rRNA from 1 species
UACGUAGGGUGCGAGCGUUAAUCGGAAUUACUGGGCGUAAAGCGUGCGCAGGCGGUUUUGUAAGCCAGAUGUGAAAUCCCCGGGCUUAACCUGGGAAUGGCAUUUGGGACUGCAAGGCUGGAGUGUGGCAGAGGAGACUGGAAUUCCUGGUGUAGCAGUGAAAUGCGUAGGAUAAUCAGGAGGAAUACCGAUGGGCGAAGGCAGGUCUCUGGGCUGACACUGACGCUCAUGCACGAAAGCGUGGGGAGCAAAC